rnacentral:tRNA from 1 species
GCGCCUGUAGCUCAGGGGAUAGANNCGGUUUCCUAAACCGUAGGUCGCAGGUUCGAUUCCUGCCAGGCGUA